GAUGAACGCUGGCGGCGUGCUUAACACAUGCAAGUCGAACGGGAAACCUUUUAUUGAAGCUUCGGCAGAUUUAGCUGGUUUCUAGUGGCGGACGGGUGAGUAACGCGUGGGUAACCUGCCCUAUACAGGGGGAUAACAUCCAGAAAUGGUUGCUAAUACCGCAUAAGCGCACAGGGCCGCAUGGUCCGGUGUGAAAAACUCCGGUGGUAUAGGAUGGACCCGCGUUGGAUUAGCCAGUUGGCAGGGUAACGGCCUACCAAAGCGACGAUCCAUAGCCGGCCUGAGAGGGUGAACGGCCACAUUGGGACUGAGACACGGCCCAGACUCCUACGGGAGGCAGCAGUGGGGAAUAUUGCACAAUGGGGGAAACCCUGAUGCAGCGACGCCGCGUGAAGGAAGAAGUAUCUCGGUAUGUAAACUUCUAUCAGCAGGGAAGAUAGUGACGGUACCUGACUAAGAAGCCCCGGCUAACUACGUG
rnacentral:rRNA from 1 species